GUGUCUUCUUCAGCUGCACAUAUACUAAAAUUAGAUUGAUACAGAGAAGAUUAGCAUGAUCCCUGCACAAGGAUAACAUGCACAUUCAUAAAGCAUUCCAUAUUUAA